GUCUUUUUGAUUAAUAAUUUAAAGUUUAAUUUGCCCCCUGAUUAAUAAUUAAAGGGCUGCAGUAUAUUGACUGUACAAAGGUAGCAUAAUCAAUAGUCUUUUAAUUGAAGACUUGUAUGAAAGAUUUGAUGAAAUAUAAACUGUCUCUAAAUUAUUUAUAGAAAUUAAUUUUUUAAUUAAAAAGUUAAAAUAAAUUAAAAAGACGAGAAGACCCUAUAGAGUUUUAUAAUAAUUAAAUUUUUUUUUUAAAUAUAAAAAUAAUAAAUUUAAAGGUUUAUUAUUAUUUUAUUGGGGUGAUAGAAAAAUUAAAAUAACUUUUUUUAAUAAAAAUACAUAAAUAAGUGAAUAAAUGAUCCAUAAUUAAUGAUUAUAAGAAAAAAUUACCUUAGGGAUAACAGCGUAAUUUUUUUUUUUAGUACAAAUAAAAAAAAAAGGUUGCGACCUCGAUGUUGGAUUAAGAUAAAAUUUAAAUGCAAAAGUUUAAAAUUUUGAUCUGUUCGAUCAUUAAAAUCUUACAU
rnacentral:rRNA from 1 species